UACGUAGGGUGCGAGCGUUAAUCGGAAUUACUGGGCGUAAAGGGCUCGUAGGUGGCCAACUAAGUCAGACGUGAAAUCCCUCGGCUUAACCGGGGAACUGCGUCUGAUACUGGAUGGCUUGAGUUUGGGAGAGGGAUGCGGAAUUCCAGGUGUAGCGGUGAAAUGCGUAGAUAUCUGGAGGAACACCGGUGGCGAAGGCGGCUCACUGGGUCUUAUCUGACGCUGAUGCACGAAAGCUAGGGGAGCAAACGGG
rnacentral:rRNA from 1 species